rnacentral:rRNA from 1 species
AUUGAACGCUGGCGGCAGGCCUAACACAUGCAAGUCGAGCGGAUGAAGGGAGCUUGCUCCUGGAUUCAGCGGCGGACGGGUGAGUAAUGCCUAGGAAUCUGCCUGGUAGUGGGGGAUAACGUCCGGAAACGGGCACUAAUACCACAUACGUCCUGAGGGAGAAAGUGGGGGAUCUUCGGACCUCACGCUAUCAGAUGAGCCUAGGUCGGAUUAGCUAGUUGGUGGGGUAAAGGCCUACCAAGGCGACGAUCCGUAACUGGUCUGAGAGGAUGAUCAGUCACACUGGAACUGAGACACGGUCCAGACUCCUACGGGAGGCAGCAGUGGGGAAUAUUGGACAAUGGGCGAAAGCCUGAUCCAGCCAUGCCGCGUGUGUGAAGAAGGUCUUCGGAUUGUAAAGCACUUUAAGUUGGGAGGAAGGGCAGUAAGUUAAUACCUUGCUGUUUUGACGUUACCAACAGAAUAAGCACCGGCUAACUUCGUG